rnacentral:rRNA from 1 species
AGUGAACGCUGGCGGUAGGCCUAACACAUGCAAGUCGAACGGCAGCACAGUAAGAGCUUGCUCUUACGGGUGGCGAGUGGCGGACGGGUGAGGAGUACAUCGGAAUCUACUUUUUCGGGGGGGAUAACGUAGGGAAACUUACGCUAAUACCGCAUACGACCUACGGGUGAAAGCAGUGGAUCUUCGGGCCUUGCGCGACUGAAUGUGCCGAUGUCGGAUUAGCUAGUUGGCGGGGUAAGGGCCCACCAAGGCGACGAUCCGUAGCUGGUCUGAGAGGAUGAUCAGCCACACUGGAACUGAGACACGGUCCAGACUCCUACGGGAGGCAGCAGUGGGGAAUAUUGGACAAUGGGCGCAAGCCUGAUCCAGCCAUACCGCGUGGGUGAAGAAGGCCUUCGGGUUGUAAAGCCCUGUUGUUGGGAAAGAAAAGCAGCAGAUUAAUCCCCCGCUGUUCUGACGGUACCCAAAGAAUAAGCCCCGGCUAACUUCGUG